rnacentral:rRNA from 1 species
GAUGAACGCUGGCGGCGUGCCUAAUACAUGCGAGUCGAGCGAACGGACGAGAAGCUUGCUUCUCUGAUGUUAGCGGCGGACGGGUGAGUAACACGUGGAUAACCUACCUAUAAGACUGGGAUAACUUCGGGAAACCGGAGCUAAUACCGGAUAAUAUUUUGAACCGCAUGGUUCAAAAGUGAAAGACGGUCUUGCUGUCACUUAUAGAUGGAUCCGCGCUGCAUUAGCUAGUUGGUAAGGUAACGGCUUACCAAGGCAACGAUGCAUAGCCGACCUGAGAGGGUGAUCGGCCACACUGGAACUGAGACACGGUCCAGACUCCUACGGGAGGCAGCAGUAGGGAAUCUUCCGCAAUGGGCGAAAGCCUGACGGAGCAACGCCGCGUGAGUGAUGAAGGUCUUCGGAUCGUAAAACUCUGUUAUUAGGGAAGAACGUAUGUGUAAGUAACUGUGCACAUCUUGACGGUACCUAAUCAGAAAGCCACGGCUAACUACGUGCCAGCAGCCGCGGUAAUACGUAGGUGGCAAGCGUUAUCCGGAAUUAUUGGGCGUAAAGCGCGCGUAGGCGGUUUUUUAAGUCUGAUGUGAAAGCCCACGGCUCAACCGUGGAGGGUCAUUGGAAACUGGAAAACUUGAGUGCAGAAGAGGAAAGUGGAAUUCCAUGUGUAGCGGUGAAAUGCGCAGAGGUAUGGAGGAACACCAGUGGCGAAGGCGACUUUCUGGUCUGUAACUGACGCUGAUGUGCGAAAGCGUGGGGAUCAAACAGGAUUAGAUACCCUGGUAGUCCACGCCGUAAACGAUGAGUGCUAAGUGUUAGGGGGUUUCCGCCCCUUAGUGCUGCAGCUAACGCAUUAAGCACUCCGCCUGGGGAGUACGACCGCAAGGUUGAAACUCAAAGGAAUUGACGGGGACCCGCACAAGCGGUGGAGCAUGUGGUUUAAUUCGAAGCAACGCGAAGAACCUUACCAAAUCUUGACAUCCUUUGACAACUCUAGAGAUAGAGCCUUCCCCUUCGGGGGACAAAGUGACAGGUGGUGCAUGGUUGUCGUCAGCUCGUGUCGUGAGAUGUUGGGUUAAGUCCCGCAACGAGCGCAACCCUUAAGCUUAGUUGCCAUCAUUAAGUUGGGCACUCUAAGUUGACUGCCGGUGACAAACCGGAGGAAGGUGGGGAUGACGUCAAAUCAUCAUGCCCCUUAUGAUUUGGGCUACACACGUGCUACAAUGGACAAUACAAAGGGCAGCGAAACCGCGAGGUCAAGCAAAUCCCAUAAAGUUGUUCUCAGUUCGGAUUGUAGUCUGCAACUCGACUACAUGAAGCUGGAAUCGCUAGUAAUCGUAGAUCAGCAUGCUACGGUGAAUACGUUCCCGGGUCU